rnacentral:lncRNA from 1 species
CCAAUCUGAUGAAAAUACUGCUUAUGCUAGGUCGAAUUGAGACUCUGAAAGGUAUUUGGGAGCCAGACACUUAUGAGAAUACAUAUUGCUUUGAAUAUUGGAAGAAAGCAAAGCAGUCAAACGAAUUUCUUCUUGGCUUGGAGUUCCUCUGCCUCNNNNNNNNNNUCUCAGCUCACUGCAACCUCUGCCUCUGGGUUGAAGUGAUUCUGCUGCCUCAGCCUCCAGAGUAGCUGAGACUACAGGCGCCCGCCACCACGCCAGGCUAAUUUUUGUAUCUUUAGUAGAGAUGGGGUUUCACCAUGUUGGCCAGGAUGGUCUCGAUCUCCUGACCUUGUGAUCCGCCCGCCUUGGCCCGCCAAAGUGCUGGGAUUGCAGGUGUAAGCCACUGUGCCCGGCCUAAUGUUGACAUUUUUUACUCCUACACGAAGCUUUUAUGUUUUUACUUAUUCUUUUCUAGUCUUUAUUGAUAAUGUAUAAAUAUGUACUGUAUUAUGUAAUUUUAAUUGCUGGAUACAUAUACCUGUCUUCUUUUCUUAAACUUUUUUAUUCUAUUGUAGCAGAGUCUUUGUAAUAAUCAUUUUUGAAUGUAGUAUUUAGUUGUGUUAAUUUAUUUUAUUUCUCUUAAGUAAUCUAUGAUAGAAUAUUUAAGCUAUUUCUGUUUUUACAGAAUAUUGUAGGGAACCUUUAAAAACACACAAUUAGCAUUUUUCUGCUGCUAAUUGCUUUAUUAGGAUGAAUGCAUAGAUUUACCGUGUCAAAGGUUAUAACCAAUUUUAUGACCUUUAGUAUGUAAUUCUGGAAAAUUAAACAGAAACUUAAGUCACAAAUGGCCUUAAACAUUGGCAGGAAGCUGCUGAUUUCCUGACUGUUGUACAGGCAACCCACUGGCAAGUAACAUGUCAAAUACGGACCAUUAUAAUUCCUUAUCAUAAAGGCAGAUACAGUUUUCUUCAAAGGACAUGAAAAUAAUUUAUUUGCUUUUGAUGCUUUUUCUCAUUGGGAAAUGAUAUUCUGUAAGUGCAGAAUGUGCACUUGAUUGUGAAGUUGUAGUGAGGAUUUUUAUUUUUAUUUUUGUACAACUGAGUUAUAAUAAAGGAAACAAACUUUAUGUCACUUCUAGGCUGAUGAAAUACCCUAGUAAAUGCAGUACA